rnacentral:rRNA from 1 species
AGAGUUUGAUCCUGGCUCAGGACGAACGCUGGCGGCGUGCUUAACACAUGCAAGUCGAACGAAGAGCGACGGAAGCUUGCUUCUAUCAAUCUUAGUGGCGAACGGGUGAGUAACGCGUAAUCAACCUGCCCUUCAGAGGGGGACAACAGUUGGAAACGACUGCUAAUACCGCAUACGAUCUAAUCUCGGCAUCGAGGAUAGAUGAAAGGUGGCCUCUACAUGUAAGCUAUCACUGAAGGAGGGGAUUGCGUCUGAUUAGCUAGUUGGAGGGGUAACGGCCCACCAAGGCGAUGAUCAGUAGCCGGUCUGAGAGGAUGAACGGCCACAUUGGGACUGAGACACGGCCCAGACUCCUACGGGAGGCAGCAGUGGGGAAUCUUCCGCAAUGGACGAAAGUCUGACGGAGCAACGCCGCGUGAGUGAUGACGGCCUUCGGGUUGUAAAGCUCUGUUAAUCGGGACGAAAGGCCUUCUUGCGAAUAGUGAGAAGGAUUGACGGUACCGGAAUAGAAAGCCACGGCUAACUACGUGCCAGCAGCCGCGGUAAUACGUAGGUGGCAAGCGUUGUCCGGAAUUAUUGGGCGUAAAGCGCGCGCAGGCGGAUAGGUCAGUCUGUCUUAAAAGUUCGGGGCUUAACCCCGUGAUGGGAUGGAAACUGCCAAUCUAGAGUAUCGGAGAGGAAAGUGGAAUUCCUAGUGUAGCGGUGAAAUGCGUAGAUAUUAGGAAGAACACCAGUGGCGAAGGCGACUUUCUGGACGAAAACUGACGCUGAGGCGCGAAAGCCAGGGGAGCGAACGGAGUUAGAUACCCCGGUAGUCCUGGCCGUAAAC